UGAGUGGACGACAACUCGCUCCGUUC
rnacentral:piRNA from 1 species